rnacentral:rRNA from 1 species
AAGGUGGGGACUCAGAUGAGACUGCCGGUGACAAACCGGAGGAAGUGGGGACGACGUCAAGUCAUCAUGGCCCUUAUGUCCUGGGCUACACACGUGCUACAAUGGCCGGUACAGAGUGAAGCGAAACCGCGAGGUGAAGCAAAACGCAGAAAGCCGGUCUCAGUACGGAUUGGAGUCUGAAACUCGACUUCAUGAAGUUGGAAUCGCUAGUAAUCGCGCAUCAGCAUGGCGCGGUGAAUACGUUCCCGGGCCUU